rnacentral:rRNA from 1 species
GAUGAACGCUGGCGGCGUGCCUAAUACAUGCAAGUCGAGCGAACGGACGAGAAGCUUGCUUCUCUGAUGUUAGCGGCGGACGGGUGAGUAACACGUGGAUCACCUACCUAUAUGACUGGGAUAACUUCGGGAAACCGGAGCUAAUACCGGAUCAUAUUUUGAACCGCUUGGUUCAAAAGUUAAAGACGGUCUUGCUGUCACUUUUAGAUGGAUCCGCGCUGCAUUAGCUAGUUGGUAAGGUAACGGCUUACCAAGGCGACGAUGCAUAGCCGACCUGAGAGGGUGAUCGGCCACACUGGAACUGAGACACGGUCCAGACUCCUACGGGAGGCAGCAGUAGGGAAUCUUCCGCAAAGGGCGAAAGCCUGACGGAGCAACGCCGCGUGAGUGAUGAAGGUCUUCGGAUCGUAAAACUCUGUUAUUAGGGAAGAACAGAUGUGUAAGUAACUGUGCACAUCUUGACGGUACCUAAUCAGAAAGCCACGGCUAACUACGUG